ACGUACACUCCUACGGGAGGCAGCAGUGGGGAAUAUUGGACAAUGGGCGCAAGCCUGAUCCAGCCAUGCCGCGUGAGUGAUGAAGGCCCUAGGGUUGUAAAGCUCUUUCACCGGUGAAGAUAAUGACGGUAACCGGAGAAGAAGCCCCGGCUAACUUCGUGCCAGCAGCCGCGGUAAUACGAAGGGGGCUAGCGUUGUUCGGAUUUACUGGGCGUAAAGCGCACGUAGGCGGUCUAUUAAGUCAGGGGUGAAAUCCCGGGGCUCAACCCCGGAACUGCCUUUGAUACUGGUAGUCUUGAGUUCGAGAGAGGUGAGUGGAAUGCCGAGUGUAGAGGUGAAAUUCGUAGAUAUUCGGAGGAACACCAGUGGCGAAGGCGGCUCACUGGCUCGAUACUGACGCUGAGGUGCGAAAGCGUGGGGAGCAAACAGGAUUAGAUACCCCGGUAGUCCC
rnacentral:rRNA from 1 species